rfam:Cavia porcellus supercont2_0 genomic scaffold, whole genome shotgun sequence.
CACUUUGUGCAAUUGUGGUAUCAUAACCCAUGAGGUUUAUCUAAAGUGUGAUUAUUGCUAACUGAAAACUUACCUGUAUUUUAUCCCAUAUACACAGUAUAAAAAUCUUUUGGAAGUUGUAAUAGUUGAUACAU